UUUCCGUAGGGUAACCUGCGGAGGGAUCAUUACACAAAUAUGAAGGCGGGCUGGAACCUCUCGGGGUUACAGCCUUGCUGAAUUAUUCACCCUUGUCUUUUGCGUACUUCUUGUUUCCUUGGUGGGUUCGCCCACCACUAGGACAAACAUAAACCUUUUGUAAUUGCAAUCAGCGUCAGUAACAAAUUAAUAAUUACAACUUUCAACAACGGAUCUCUUGGUUCUGGCAUCGAUGAAGAACGCAGCGAAAUGCGAUAAGUAGUGUGAAUUGCAGAAUUCAGUGAAUCAUCGAAUCUUUGAACGCACAUUGCGCCCUUUGGUAUUCCAAAGGGCAUGCCUGUUCGAGCGUCAUUUGUACCCUCAAGCUUUGCUUGGUGUUGGGCGUCUUGUCUCUAGCUUUGCUGGAGACUCGCCUUAAAGUAAUUGGCAGCCGGCCUACUGGUUUCGGAGCGCAGCACAAGUCGCACUCUCUAUCAGCAAAGGUCUAGCAUCCAUUAAGCCUUUUUUUCAACUUUUGACCUCGGAUCAGGUAGGGAUACCCGCUGAACUUAAGCAUAUCAAUAAGCG
rnacentral:rRNA from 1 species